AGUGAAUGCUGGCGGUAGGCCUAACACAUGCGAGUCGAACGGCAGCACAGUAAGAGCUUGCUCUUACGGGUGGCGAGUGGCGGACGGGUGAGGAAUACAUCGGAAUCUACUUUUUCGUGGGGGAUAACGUAGGGAAACUUACGCUAAUACCGCAUACGACCUACGGGUGAAAGCAGGGGAUCUUCGGACCUUGCGCGAUUGAAUGAGCCGAUGUCGGAUUAGCUAGUUGGCGGGGUAAAGGCCCACCAAGGCGACGAUCCGUAGCUGGUCUGAGAGGAUGAUCAGACACACUAGAAGUGAGACACGGGUCAGGCGACUGCGGGAGGCCGCAGUGGGGAAGAUGGGAGAAUGAGCACAAGCCUGAGCCAGCCAUACCGCGUGGGGAGAGAAGGCGUUGGGGUUAUAAAGCCUGUUUGUGGGAAAAGAAAAGCAGCAGGUGAAUCCCCCGUGGUUCUGAGUGGACAAAAAGAAUAAGCACCGUAUACCUGCGUGCCAGCAGCCGGGGUAAAAGAUAGGAGGAGCACACGUCCGAAC
rnacentral:rRNA from 1 species